rnacentral:rRNA from 1 species
UACACCCUUUGUGACAUACCUAUAACUGUUGCUUCGGCGGGUAGGGUCUCCGCGACCCUCCCGGCCUCCCGCCUCCGGGCGGGUCGGCGCCCGCCGGAGGAUAACCAAACUCUGAUUUAACGACGUUUCUUCUGAGUGGUACAAGCAAAUAAUCAAAACUUUUAACAACGGAUCUCUUGGUUCUGGCAUCGAUGAAGAACGCAGCGAAAUGCGAUAAGUAAUGUGAAUUGCAGAAUUCAGUGAAUCAUCGAAUCUUUGAACGCACAUUGCGCCCGCCAGCAUUCUGGCGGGCAUGCCUGUUCGAGCGUCAUUUCAACCCUCAAGCUCUGCUUGGUGUUGGGGCCCUACAGCUGAUGUAGGCCCUCAAAGGUAGUGGCGGACCCUCCCGGAGCCUCCUUUGCGUAGUAACUUUACGUCUCGCACUGGGAUCCGGAGGGACUCUUGCCGUAAAACCCCCAAUUUUCCAAAGGUUGACCUCGGAUCAGGUAGGAAUACCCGCUGAACUUAAGCAUAU